CACAAAAGGAAGGUUGGGAUUGAUUUUGGGAGUUUUGGUCCCAACAGUUUAGGAAUUAGGGGCCAAAAAGGGGCCCAAAUAAGCAUUAUUCUUGGUUUUCGCACCAUAACUUUAGUAUUAGUAAAUAGAAAUCUAUGAAAUUUAAACACAAGGUUUAUGACCAUUUUAGGAAGGUUGGGUUUGAUUUUGGGAGGUUUGGUCCCAACAGUUUAGGAACGAGGGGCCCAAAGGGUCCAAAAUUGAACUUUGUUUGAUUUCAUCAAAAAUUGAAUAAUUGGGGUUCUUUGAUAUGCCGAAUCUAACUGUGUAUGUAGAUUCUUAAUUUUUGGUCCCGUUUUCAAAUUGGUCUACAUUAAGGUCCAAAGGGUCCAAAAUUAAACUUAGUUUGAUUUUAACAAAAAAUGAAUCCUUGGGAUUCUUUGAUAUGCUGAAUCUAAAAAUGUACUUAGAUUUUUGAUUAUUGGCCCAGUUUUCAAGUUGGUCCAAAUCGGGGUCCAAAAUUAAACUUUGUUUGAUUUCAUCAAAAAUUGAAUAAUUGGGGUUCUUUGGUAUGCCAAAUCUAACUGUGUAUGUAGAUUCUUAAUUUUUGGUCCCGUUUUCAAAUUGGGCUACAUUAAGGUCCAAAGGGUCCAAAAUUAAACUAAGUUUGAUUUUAACAAAAAAUGAAUUCUUCGGCUUUUUUGAUAUGCUGAAUCUAAACAUAUACUUAGAUUUUUGAUUAUG
rnacentral:lncRNA from 1 species